GUGAAUAGCUAUCGCUUUCAGGAAAGGGGUUCCUCUGCCCACAGGGUUGGAGCUGUGAAUAAUUCAGUACGGUUCCAGGUUCCUUUUUCCCUUCUUGCGGUUGAGCUUAUUAAAAUUGUAUAGUCAAAGGGGAUUUAGCUCAGUGGUUUCGCCGCCUGCUGCGCAAGCGCAAGGACCCGAGUUCGAUCUCCGGUACUGAAAAAAAAAAAAGAAAAAAAAAAUUGUGUGGACAAAGGAGACCGGUGAGGAAAUGGCCAGUAACCUCCAAGUCAGCUGUCAGAACUUGUAGCAGGGUCUCCCAGCAACCCCAGCCCCCACCCUGGGAACUCUGAGCUGCCACCAGCAGGGGGCGACCAGUGGGUGAGGGAGGGAGGCGGGGAGGAGCAGCCAGCUGCCUCCUCUCUAGGGUGGUUUCCAUCCAUUUGCUGGGCAUCCAUCCCGGCAGUGCGUGGAAAUGAAAUGCUGUCUCUAUGCUCAUUAUUGAUCAACUUAGUCUUUGCUGUGGGCCUCAUCAUUAAGUAUUGAUGGUUUACUGCAUGAAAGGGACUCACCUGGAAGUCGCAGUCUUCAGACUUUCUCUUCCUCCUCCUCACAUCAACAGCACAGAGCCUGAGAAAUGCAUGCACUUGGCAUUCUGAGCCAUGUGCGUCCCGUAUCCUAUAGGAAGAGAGCACUUGAUGCAGCAUUAUCACUACCAACAGGAUCACCGCAAUUAUCAUCACCAUGAUUACCACUACAGCACCACUACCACCACCACCACCACCAUUAAAAUCAGCGACAAGAGACUCCCUGAACUUCCUUGCAAC
rnacentral:lncRNA from 1 species